rnacentral:misc_RNA from 1 species
AAACUGCGAUAAGUAGUGUGAAUUGCAUUUAGUGAAUCAUCGAAUCUUUGAACGCACCUUGCACUCACUGGUAUUCCGGUGAGUACGCCUGUCUCAGAGUCGCUAGAAACACACAAUCAAAACUUUUUUGGUUUAUGAUUGGGCUUGGGCUUAUAACAGUUUGGUUCAUUCAUUUGGAUCAAGCGGCCUGGAAUGCAUUGUCUGGCUAAUUGCAUUUUGGAUGAUCGCUAUUAGACUUUGGCUCUUUGAAAUGAACUGGAGGUUGAUUAACCAGUUUUAGCUUUAGUCGAAUGGUCAUUGUAAGUCAAUCUUAGUCCAGCGGCUAGAAGUAGCCGAAAACAAUCAUUAAUUCAUAUUCAGACCUGAAACAGGUGGGACUACCCGCUGAACUUAA